UUUAAAGAGUGCGUAAUAGCUCACUGAUCGAGCGCCCUUGCGCUGAAGAUGAACGGGGCUAAGCGAUCUGCCGAAGCUGUGGGAUGUCAAAAUGCAUCGGUAGGGGAGCGUUCCGCCUUAGAGGGAAGCAACCGCGAAAGCGAGGGUCGGCGAAGCAGAAGGA
rnacentral:ncRNA from 1 species